AACGAAGGGGGCUAGCGUUACUCGGAUUGACUGGGCGUAAAGGGCGCGUAGGCGGUUUGUACAGUCAGACGUGAAAUUCCUGGGCUCAACCUGGGGGCUGCGUUUGAUACGUGCGGACUUGAGUUCGGAAGAGGGUCGUGGAAUUCCCAGUGUAGAGGUGAAAUUCGUAGAUAUUGGGAAGAACACCGGUGGCGAAGGCGGCGACCUGGUCCGAUACUGACGCUGAGGCGCGAAAGCGUGGGGAGCGAACAGG
rnacentral:rRNA from 1 species